UCACACAGGACAGGUCACACACAAGGCAGCUUCAGGUGGUUAUAGGAUGCACUCACAUAGGACAGGACAGGUCACACACGAGGCAGCUUCAGGUGGUUAUAGGAUGCACUCACAUAGGACAGGACAGGUCACACACGAGGCAGCUUCAGGUGGUUAUAGGAUGCACUCACAUAGGACAGGACAGGUCACACACGAGGCAGCUUCAGGUGGCUGCAGGAUGCACUCACACAGGACAGGUCA